rnacentral:tRNA from 1 species
GGCUUGGUAGCUCAGCUGGUGGAGCGAUUGCCGCGUUGAGGCAUGCCGUGUGUGUCGCUGGUUUGAAUCCAGCCGAAGCCC